rnacentral:rRNA from 1 species
UACGAAGGGGGGCUAGCGUUGUUCGGAUUUACUGGGCGUAAAGCGCACGUAGGCGGAUUGUUAAGUGAGGGGUGAAAUCCCAGGGCUCAACCCUGGAACUGCCUUUCAUACUGGCAAUCUUGAGUCCGGAAGAGGUGAGUGGAACUCCUAGUGUAGAGGUGGAAUUCGUAGAUAUUAGGAAGAACACCAGUGGCGAAGGCGGCUCACUGGUCCGGUACUGACGCUGAGGUGCGAAAGCGUGGGGAGCAAACAGG